rnacentral:rRNA from 1 species
CCUACGGGUGACAGCAGUGAGGAAUAUUGGUCAAUGGACGAGAGUCUGAACCAGCCAAGUAGCGUGAAGGAUGACUGCCCUAUGGGUUGUAAACUUCUUUUAUAUGGGAAUAAAACGUUCCACGUGUGGGAUUUUGUAUGUACCAUAUGAAUAAGGAUCGGCUACCUCCGUGCCAGCAGCCGCGGUAAUACGGAGGAUCCGAGCGUUAUCCGGAUUUAUUGGGUUUAAAGGGAGCGUAGGUGGAUUGUUAAGUCAGUUGUGAAAGUUUGCGGCUCAACCGUAAAAUUGCAGUUGAAACUGGCAGUCUUGAGUACAGUAGAGGUGGGCGGAAUUCGUGGUGUAGCGGUGAAAUGCUUAGAUAUCACGAAGAACUCCGAUUGCGAAGGCAGUUCACUGGACUGCAACUGACACUGAGGCUCGAAAGUGUGGGUAUCAAACAGGAUUAGAUACCCUUGUAGUC